rnacentral:tRNA from 1 species
GCCCUGGUAGUCUAGUGGUUAAGAUUCGGUGCUCUGACCACCGUGGCCUGGGUUCGUUUCCCAGUCAGGGACCA